rnacentral:rRNA from 1 species
UACGUAGGGUGCGAGCGUUGUCCGGAAUUAUUGGGCGUAAAGAGCUCGUAGGCGGUUUGUCACGUCGGCCGUGAAAACUGGAGGCUUAACCUCCAGCUUGCGGUCGAUACGGGCAGACUUGAGUUCGGUAGGGGAGACUGGAAUUCCUGGUGUAGCGGUGGAAUGCGCAGAUAUCAGGAGGAACACCGGUGGCGAAGGCGGGUCUCUGGGCCGAUACUGACGCUGAGGAGCGAAAGCGUGGGGAGCGAACAGG